CGUCCCGGGCAGCAGCGUGCGAAAGCAGAGCAGCCGGUUCACGUAGUCUGCUUUACCAUGGAAGCUGCUUUUAGCAGUGCUCAAGCCUCAGAACCACACAGGCGUCCAGACCGCGCCGAUGAAAAGGAAGAAAAAAGUCGGCGUCCUUAGCUGCGCUCUUCAGGACUAGCGAAGAGCUUCACCUUAAACGGUGCUUCAGCAAUCCGCACAGCGUCCGCGCUGUUCCACUCUCUAAGACCCUGACCCCCUUUAUUGUUUUUUUCUUUAGUGCCACAUUGCGUUCUCUGUAUUUUGCUUUUAAAGCACUUCACAGUGAGGAGACGCCACUACGGCACAGUCCACGCUGGCAGGCCAGGGCCGAGUGCUGCGACGCCAACGCGCCGUUGUCGCCGGCAGGGCCGAAGCCACGAGCGCAGACCCCGCAGCUCCGCCGCGCUCUGCCCCACUGCCUGCCCUCAGCGCCGUGCGACUCCAGUGGUUGCACAUUAACUUUUUCUUGGGGGCAGUGCCAGGUGAAGCAGCCGUUGCCCUCCUUGCUGGACUGGCAUACCUGUCCAUGGAACUGGCAGACUGAUUCCCAUUCUCUUUACUGCAUAAUUUUUCAGGAAGAUCAAUUCACCAGUCUGGUUCAGUGCACAGCUCCAAGACAGAGAGAGUGAGAGAAAGACAGGAAUGGACAAGGCUGAAAGAGGAGCAUGGAGUCUACGUCAGCCAACCUAAGGCUCAGCGUUGGUCCAGAUUUUAUCUCAGUAAAUGCCAUUUCAAACAUUUGCUAGCAAGUCAAGCAACACUUCAUACAAUUUAUUUAGGAAGUUUGUUUUCAUAAACCCAAGUUUGCACUACAUAAAAACUAGCUUGUUAAAAUGCUAGUCCAAAAACAUCUGUUCUUCAAGAGUUUAGCACCAAAUUGUUCUCCCUUUUGGCCCGGUUGCAUGUAAGUGCCAUGGAUAGAUACAUAUAUAUGCAAGCCAGAAAGACCUAUUUUCUAUACAUGGGCUCAUUAAACAUGUUUUCCUUUUGACCAUUUCUAAGGAAGUGACUCCUCCUUUAAUCACCUCCAACUCAUGAUUUGGGAAUUUACUGGCUCCUUGACAGACUGCAAGAAAACGGCUAGCUUCUUUCUACCCCAACAUAUAUGUAAGUAGGCCAGACAGUCAUAACACAAACACUGCACAUUGUACACUUUGGCAAUAUGGUGAUUCAAGCUUAAAAUACAGCACAGUGAUCACCUACUAAACUCAGUGUACUGUCCCACUGAGGACAGAUAUUUCCCAAAACUAUGUGCUUAGGCCUGGUUUGAGUUCUUCUGGCAGCUCCCAGCUUACCUAUGGGGCUGUAAUGCCUUCAGGCUGUUACCUGCUCUCUGCCCGGAAGUGUUUAAACUUGAUUGUUCUGAGAAGUGUCUAUAAAUAUUUCAAAGAUUCUGAUGGGUUAUAUAACAAUGUGCGUGUGUAUUGCUGUAUCAUGACAAACUCCAGAAAUAAUUUAAUGCAUUCCAUCUGGCAAAACACAAUGGACCAUAAAUGCCUACAUUAAAAGGAAGCAAAGGCACUCAGUAUGUGUUAUGCUUUUGCACAGAAAUAUACAGUGUGCAUAUUUCCCAUUGGUGUUUCUGAGCACUGGACACUGAAAAAUACUUGUCUUUAUGACUUUUUAUAAAGGCUGCACAACUUUCUUGGUCUGCACACUUAACAACCAGAGCAUUAACAAUUCAUUCACAGUAGGAUAUAAGUUUCUGCACAUCUUUUCUGAAAAUUCCUGUUUCAUGGACUGGACUAACAGUGAAACAGAUGUGUCAAACUGAACAUAUCUUUAUAUUGGUGUCAAUGUACCUGUAUCUUGGAUCGAUGUACCUUUUCAAAACUUAGUUUGAUUGUUUAAUGAGACUCAUGCUUUGAGUUCUUAUUAUCAGAAACUGUUGUAUGCUAGUUGUCACCCGUGCGCAUAAUUUAGGUGACAGAAUUACCUAAAGACUGACAAAGACAUCAGCUACCCCGCUGAGCUAAGUACUACGGGGCUCUCAAACAGAUAAUCCUUACCUCAAAUAGCUUAUAGUCAUGGUUAAUGCAGCAAGCAGCAGAAACAAAGCAGCAGGCAGAAAGACAAUAUAACACUGAUACAAGCCUGUUUUUGCAAAUACUAGAUAUGUAUGCAGCAGAACCCAUACCUAUGUAGCAGCUGCAUUAUAUACAUUGUACUGUGCCCUCUGUCAUAAAAAAACCCUUCCCUAUUAGCAUUUCUAGCUUGGCCUCAGUAUUAGAAUGAUGAAGUGACUCACAGACGUGCAGUGUCAAUCUCAUUUUGACAGCAUAGUCAGCAACACCUGACUAGUUUCUAUUAGCAGUUAAAAUAGCUUACGAGAGCUGGAACAGAACAGCAGCCUCAGGAAACAUCAUUUUAAAUCAAUUCAAGGUUACAAGCAAAGCCAUUUUAUUUGCUUGAGUUUACUGUCUUGGAAUGACAGGCCAUUGGGGGAAAAAAAAGAAACCAGACCUGUAGUUUUAUACUGUUUGUAAAAUGCKCAAGGGUGAUCAGGCAAUUAGUCAUGUGCAGAGCUCAUUUUACGUUCCUUUAAGUAGGACAGUCUGGUGGAGAUGGUAUUAUUCACAUCAGUCUAUAUGAAAACAAUCUAUAGAGAAACACAAGAGAAUGGCAUUUCUUCCCUCUGCAUCUAAAACUUGGUUAUUGUGAAGGUCUGCAAAUAUUCAAGCACAGAAUAGCCUGGAGCACAACAGAACUUACAUGGCUCUAUUGUGGCACUUAAUUAUAAUUAAUUCAGUAAUUUUUUCAUACUUUUUGUAACAUUAGUAUUAGCAUUGUGAAGUAACAUUGAUCUUGUCCUCGGAGAAACAGUUUGGACAUCAGAUGGCCUCUCUGCAGUGCCUUGCAGCUAUAUGAAAUAAUUCACCAGUGUUUUUAUAAAUAAAGGAGUUUGGGUACUUCA
rnacentral:lncRNA from 1 species